AACGAACGCUGGCGGCAGGCUUAACACAUGCAAGUCGAACGCAUCCUUCGGGGUGAGUGGCAGACGGGUGAGUAACGCGUGGGAACGUGCCCUUCAGUUCGGGAUAACCCCGGGAAACUUGGGCUAAUACCGGAUACGUGCGAGAGCAGAAAGAUUUAUCGCUGAAGGAUCGGCCCGCGUCUGAUUAGCUAGUUGGUGAGGUAAUGGUUCACCAAGGCGAAGAUCAGUAGCUGGUCUGAGAGGAUGAUCAGCCAGAUUGGGACUGAGACACGGCCCAAACUCCUACGGGAGGCAGCAGUGGGGAAUAUUGGACAAUGGGCGCAAGCCUGAUCCAGCCAUGCCGCGUGAGUGAUGAAGGCCUUAGGGUUGUAAAGCUCUUUCGUCCGGGACGAUAAUGACGGUACCGGAAGAAGAGGCCCCGGCUAACUUCGUGCCAGCAGCCGCCGUAAGAC
rnacentral:rRNA from 1 species